rnacentral:rRNA from 1 species
UACGUAUGUCGCAAGCGUUAUCCGGAUUUAUUGGGCGUAAAGCGCGUCUAGGCGGAAAAAUAAGUCUGAUGUUAAAAUGCGGGGCUCAACUCCGUAUUGCGUUGGAAACUGUUUUUCUAGAGUACUGGAGAGGUGGGCGGAACUACAAGUGUAGAGGUGAAAUUCGCAGAUAUUUGUAGGAAUGCCGAUGGAGAAGUCAGCUCACUGGACAGAUACUGACGCUGAAGCGCGAAAGCGUGGGGAGCAAACAGGAUUAGAAACCCUGGU